GAAAAGUGGAUAGAUGACCAAAAAAAUUAAUAAAUCAAACAAACAAACAAAAAAACCCCACAACAACUACAACAGCAUUUGAAAGAAAUGCAGGUGGGCAGCUUCUGAUGUUUCCCCCUCAUCUACUACAUGCUGUUCUCUCAGAGGUGGUACGCAGCCUCAUGAUUGGCUGUACUCAAGCCACACCCCAAAACACUCUUCCGAAGAAGUGACCGAUCUCUGGCAGGACAGGAUUCUGGCUGCUGCUGAAGGAAACAUGAAGAGCACAUUCUCUGUCUUGCUGUCGUCCAGUAGGGAUGUGGGAAGAUGAAUUGGAACUGUGGGAAUGUCAGGCUGUUUUGACACGUUUAAAUGUGUCAGAGCUUAAACCCCACCUCGUCUCCUCCCCCCAUCUGGCCUGGGUGUAUUUCGAGACCACUUAUCAGGGUUGACAC
ensembl:lncRNA